AUGUACAUGCCUACAACAUAGCGUUGAUGCACCGGAUCCCAUUAGAACUCGACAAUUAAGUGUGCUCGGGCUAGAGUAGUAUGGGGAUGGGUGACCGCCCAGGAAGUCCUACUAUUUUACAUU
rnacentral:rRNA from 1 species